AAGUGGUUACAAUGAACAUGUCUCCCAGGGAAGAAGAUGCUGAAGGCUCUAGACAGGGAAUCUGUGGAACCCACAAUCAGAUGAGUCAUAGACAUGAGGAAGAGUCACAUCUCCAACCUUUGCAGACAAAGGAGAAACCAUAAAGAGUUAAACAACUUCAAGCUGUUCAAAGUGCACAGAAAGCCUCCUGUCAAGAAGCAUCACAGCUUGAUGUGGUAACUGCUCAGCCUGUGACUACAAGAAAAUGUAGAAAGUUGUGGACACAGCUCUGCUCAACAUAUUACAGAAACCAGCAUCCCCUCCAGUGAAGCAGCCAGCAUAAUCAAAGACCCACCGAUCACAGGCCUUCGUUCUUCUCCCCCUCCCAUGAGGCGAAGGCACUAAAGCAUUGUUGUAACUGUGAACAAAGUCACCGGCGAGACACUGAAGCAAGUAGAGAUAGAAGUGUUUUAUACAGCAAAAAUGAGCAACAGGCAUCAUUCAGCAUUGGAGACACUAUUAGAAGAGGAGACCUGCUCGAUCCAAUAUCACAUGAUAUUUUUAUAAAGAUCAAAGGUAAUAGCAGGACAAUUCUAUAGUUACAAUGUAUUUACAAUGCAUUUACAAUGCUUCCUUUGAAUUACAUAUAACUAUCACACAUCCUGCUUCACACUCACACUCCAGACACCCAAAAUGAAUGGUAAUCCCCACUGUCUCUAGGCUGAAUUUCUGCAUAUGCAGGCUUCUGAGGUCUAAGUGGAGUGUUUCUUUGUUUGCAAUUGACCCCAGCCU